GAUGAAGAACGUAGCGAAAUGCGAUACGUAAUGUGAAUUGCAAAUUCAGUGAAUCAUCGAGUCUUUGAACGCACAUUGCGCCCCCUGGUAUUCCGGGGGGCAUGCCUGUCCGAGCGUCAUUGCUGCCCUCAAGCACGGCUUGUGUGUUGGGCCCCGUCCUCCGGUCCCGGGGGACGGGCCCGAAAGGCAGCGGCGGCACCGCGUCCGGUCCUCGAGCGUAUGGGGCUUUGUCACCCGCUCUGUAGGCCCGGCCGGCGCUUGCCGAUCAACCCAAAUUUUUAUCCAGGUUGACCUCGGAUCAGGUAGGGAUACCCGCUGAACUUAAGCAUAUCAAUAAGCGGAGGA
rnacentral:misc_RNA from 1 species